rnacentral:rRNA from 1 species
UACGUAGGGGGCAAGCGUUGUCCGGAAUUAUUGGGCGUAAAGAGCGCGUAGGCGGUCCGAUAAGUCGGCUGUGAAAGUCAGGGGCUCAACCCUUGAAAGCCGGCCGAUACUGUCGGACUAGAGUCCGGAAGAGGCAAGUGGAAUUCCCGGUGUAGCGGUGAAAUGCGCAGAUAUCGGGAGGAACACCCGUGGCGAAGGCGGCUCUCUGGGACGGUACUGACGCUGAGACGCGAAAGCGUGGGGAGCGAACAGG